UCACAUGUUGAAAUUUACAUCAUAAUUAGUGAAGUUUAACUGUCACGUGAAAUAAUUAAUCAACAAAUAUCUUUUGAAAGGGAUAUAUAGUGGCAAAAUAACUAAACCAUGGUACAUGAGGACCAUGACCAUGUAUUGUUCAUGUACAUGCUAUAGCAGUCUAUGGUCCGGUGAUGAUGUGGCAAAAUGGCUAAGAACUCAAGACUCUGGGUUGGCCUUUUCUUAGUCGACAAAAGCAGUGCAAAUGAUAGAGAUUGUUGGGGAAACAAGUGAAAAAAGAUACUUAGCUUCUCAAGGGUAUUGUUCUGAUUCGUUUAUUUAUUCCAUGUCAGAUUCUCCGUAACAAACAGCCUUAAGUUUGCUUAGAUUUUAGGCUUAUGAUUUUUGGGAGUGAAUCUAAAUUUCAUCCAAGUGUUUUUGGGGCCCUCUUUUCCUUUACUUACCCUUUAAAAGCUUCUCUCCCCAAUCCAAUUAGCCAUAAAUAGCAGCCUUUACUUAUUUAUAUCCCUACAGGAAUGAAACACAAAAGAGUAUAAGAGUACAACUAACAUUCUCAUAUCAGCUCAUUGCUUUUAAACAAACCACAAGAACACAAUACUCUUACUUCCCUUAUUCUUGCUUGUUCACAAGUCUUUUAUUCCUUUUUUUUUUUUUCUGAAAAAACAAACUUCUUUCCCCUUGUUCUUAUUAGUUUUGUUUCAAAUUAAAAACGAUGGUUCUUGCAGCUCAAAGAGUGGUGAUUCUACUUAUCUGCAUUGGGUUACUUUCAUUUGAACCAAGAAAAGUUUGUGGUCUGAGAAGUCUAGAUAUUGCCCCAAGAGAUCAAAAGGAAGAAACUAAUCCAUUUCUUCACAUUCGCCGGUCUCUUAAAGUUGUGAAAAAGGAGGGAAAACUAAACUCGGAGGCAAAAUCAGCUAGCCAAAGCAACAAGCUUGAUCCUAAUCAAUCAAGCAAAAGAAAAGUCCGAAGAGGUUCGGAUCCAAUCCACAAUAGAUGCUGAUCAACUUAACACGUUUCUUUUGCUUACAGAACAAGAUAUAGAACAAGCUUUGGUGGAGAAAUGAAGGGGAAACUAUAGAAAAAUAUGGUGUUUGGGAUUUGGUAACAAGAACUUGUGGUGUAUGGGUAAGAAGUAAUUGGCGAAAUUUAUUUCAUUUUUGGCUAGACAGCCACUACAAUUAUACUGCUUUUAUACUUAAAAGUAAUUUUGUAUAAAAAUAAGUAUAGAAGUUUAUGAUGACAUUGGAUGGGACUCUCUUAUUAGUUUGUGAGUUAGCUGUUAACUUUGGUUAGUUCUAGUUAGCUUUACUUGGUUUGGUUAUAGUUUCGGUUAAGUGCUUUGUUACUUUUUGUUGUGUAUAUAUUGUACAUUGUAUCAUUUGCUUAAUCAAUAAGAGUUCUUUCUCUCUUCCUCUCU